GUCCUAAACCCACCAUGGUGCCCUUUUUGCCCAGGCUGUCAAACAGCUUGAAGUUAAAUUUCUAUGCCUACUUAGCCUAGGCUCUCCGGAAUAAUUUUUCUUCCUUCCUCACAUGUUACAUAGUUGUGAAUAUUUUAAUGAUCUCAGACUAUUUGUGUCUUCUAAUCUAAUCUGCUUCAAAUCCUUACUGGAAUUUGGCAGGGUUUAAAUAAUAAGUUAAAAUUACUGAAAAGCCCCCUUAGCCUCUAAUCUUCCCUAAAAAAAGAGAUUAACUUUAGAGCCUCAACUUGUGACCAUCUCUCCUACCACACUGGGCACCCUUCAGCACCUCUUCGAGGUUCACCUGUCCCGGCUCUUUUUCUUGAGGAGAGGGAAACAAUACCCUUGCAAACAGUGACUAAGAGUAAGACAAAGGAAAAGCAUGCAAUGAGAGCAAGCAGCAGUGCAGAAGCCAAGGGCCAGGGGUGAAGACGAGCCUGGGAGGCAGUGCAGAAGGGGGCACAGACGAGCACAGGGGACACAACCUGGCACCUGGGAUAGAAAGUAGCGCUCUCCAGGGCUACCCACAGCCCUGCACUCACAGGGUCUACGUCGCAGCCUUGAGCCACUCCCUAAGGUGUGCUGUGACGCACGGAGGGCAGACCCACUGCUUUCAGUCCUGGGCCCACUGAGGCAGGGCACUCACUGGGCCUGGGUGGCAGUGGCCAUGACAGGCCACUCUGUUGGUGGAGUGAGGGCAACAACCCAUUCCCCAAGGCUUAAAAGGAAGGGGCCUCAUGGCCACACCAGGGCAGGGAAGAGGCCAGGGUCAUCUUCACGCACACCACAAAGAAAGGGCCACUGCAGGCAGACUGGGCAAGCCACAGAGAACCAUGGGAUAUGGGGCCAAUGGGGCUGGGAACCCCUCCCCAGCCUGUUGUGCCGGAGUCAGGAGAGGCUGGUUGGCCACAACAGCAGCCAAUUGUGGCAGGAAAAGGUGACGCUCUCACAGCAGUGGCCACCAGGGCAGCCUCUCACUAAGAGCUGCUUGUAUCCCUUGCCAAGGUCUCCCCGGCUCUCGGGCCUGACAUCCCUAUCACACAGAUAAGAAAACCAAGGCACAUCAAGGUCCUGUAACUCACAGGGCAUAAAGCUAGCACGGAGCCCUUGACCUUGACCCACCAAAGUGCUCCCUCAACCCUGAAGGGGCCUCUCUGGGACCCCUCUUAGCCCCCAAGGCUCCCAGGAGAGUGGCUGAGAUGUGAGGCUCUGCACAGGGGGAUGUAGCCACCUGCCUGUGGAGGUGGCCAGGGGCAAAAAGGAACAAGGAGGCAGAGAGAGCAAGGACCCAGGAGGACAUGGCUCCAGCCUCUGGUGGACCUGCAGUCUUACGAGGGAGCGCGACAGCAACCAAAUGGCCCCACCUAUAAACGCAAAAUCACAAAUGUGGGGGAGCCUUCCCAGGGGCCGUGGGCCAUGGGGAGCAGGACUAACCUGGUGAGGGGGGCCCAGGGCUGGGGUUCAGUUCGUACGGAGCCCUGAGGCAGAGGAUGUGGCAGGGGCUUUGGAGACCAUGCUGAGGACUUUGGACUCGGACACCGGCUCUUCCCACCCUAUGUUCUUGAGCCCUUCCUGCAGGGCUGACGCUGGCCACUGUCUGGCUGCCCAGGCCAGCUCCCCGGGGCAGACCCUCAUGGCUCCUUGGCCAGCUCUGCCACUCACCGCACCAGCUGGCACAGAGCCAGGCACAGGUUUGUGCUGGGGCUAGUCAUGGUGACAGCGACCCUGCUGCCCAGCCCUGGGCAAGCUGUCUGGGCUCUCUGACCCCAAGCUGCCUGUCUCCUGAGGGAACAAAAGGGGUUACAAAAACUCAUGUUGGGGCUGGGGAUUUAGCUCAGUGGUUCUCUCAAGUGCAAGGUCCCAAGUUCAGUCCCCAGUACCAAAAAAACAAAAACUCAUGUUUGGAAACCCACAGCAGGUUUGGCCUCUGUCGACAGCUCAACCGCCAGCAGCCCCCACA
rnacentral:lncRNA from 1 species